rnacentral:rRNA from 1 species
AUACGGAGGGGGCUAGCGUUGUUCGGAAUUACUGGGCGUAAAGCGCGCGUAGGCGGAUUAAAAAGUUAGAGGUGAAAUCCCAGGGCUUAACCCUGGAACUGCCUUUAAAACUAGUAGUCUAGAGUUCGAGAGAGGUGAGUGGAAUUCCAAGUGUAGAGGUGAAAUUCGUAGAUAUUUGGAGGAACACCAGUGGCGAAGGCGGCUCACUGGCUCGAUACUGACGCUGAGGUGCGAAAGCGUGGGGAGCAAACAGGAUUAGAAACCCCAGUAGUCC